rnacentral:rRNA from 1 species
AGAAUCAACGCUGGCGGCGUGCCUAACACAUGCAAGUCGAACGCGAAAGGGGCUUCGGCCCUGGGUAGAGUGGCAAACGGGUGAGUAACACGUGGGUGACCUACCUUCGAGUGGGGGAUAACGUCCCGAAAGGGACGCUAAUACCGCAUGACAUCCUGCCUUUGAACAGGCGGAGAUCAAAGCCGGGGAUCGCAAGACCCGGCGCUUGAAGAGGGGCCCGCGUCCGAUUAGCUAGUUGGUGAGGUAACGGCUCACCAAGGCGACGAUC